UGCUGUCCUUCUUGGUGUGGCACGACAGUUCACUGACCUUAUGUUUAACUCUGUCAACCAUGGCCAAGCAUUCUAUAUAGGGAGCCCAACAGAUGUUGUCAAGGUGAACAAGAGAUUACUGUCAAUUUGCCCGCCACACUGUUUCACCCGCCUUCCAAGACAAAUCAAAGAGCGUGCUUACUGGAAGGCUAGCGAGUGGCGCCAUUGGCUGCUCUACUACAGCCUUCCAUGUACGCUCAACAUCCUUCCUCAACGCCAUUGGAAACACUGGUGUCUUCUUGUAGAGGCUAUCCACCUGCUCUUGCAGGAAGAGUUACAUCCCACUUUACUUGCACGGGCCAGCACAUUGCUUCAGAAGUUUGUCUUUAUGGUCCCUUCACUCUACGAGGAACGCUUCGUGACAUUCAAUGUUCACCAAUUGCUACACCUGACAGCAACAGUACAGCACCUGGGACCCCUAUGGGCUCAUUCCGCUUUUGUGUUUGAAGAUGGAAACGGCCGUCUCACAAAGACAGUGACCGCAGCGAACGGAGUGGCCCUUCA